AAUUAAGUCACUAGAUGGGGAAACUGAGGCACAGAGAGAUUAAGUGAGUUGCCCAAGGAUACAAAGGAACUCUGGCAGAUUUGGUAUCCAUUUACUUCCCUGAUCAGAGGCUACAGAAGAUGUUUUCAUUCUGGGUGGCCUUGAUUGUUACAUGAGAGAGACAAGAUGGGUGAGGAUCCUUGCAAACAUGAUUUCUCUCUCUCUCGGUCUUCCCAGCCCCAAUAAGGCUAUUCCA